CUCCUGUCAUUAGGGAACAAUGGUCAGCGAUUAACUGUCGCGGACUUGAUAGUACCUGAAGAGGAAGAGACGGCUAACUCUGUGC
rnacentral:rRNA from 1 species